rnacentral:rRNA from 1 species
CCUACGGGAGGCUGCAGUGGGGAAUAUUGGACAAUGGGGGGAACCCUGAUCCAGCGACGCCGCGUGAGUGAAGAAGUAUUUCGGUAUGUAAAGCUCUAUCAGCAGGGAAGAAAGAAAUGACGGUACCUGACUCAGACGCCCCGGCUACCUACGUGCCAGCAGCCGCGGUAAUACGUAGGGGGCAAGCGUUAUCCGGAUUUACUGGGUGUAAAGGGAGCGUAGACGGCGAUGCAAGUCUGAAGUGAAAGGCGGGGGCCUAACCCCCGGACUGCUUUGGAAACUGUAUGGCUGGAGUGCAGGAGAGGUAAGUGGAAUUCCUAGUGUAGCGGUGAAAUGCGUAGAUAUUAGGAGGAACACCAGUGGCGAAGGCGGCUUACUGGACUGUAACUGACGUUGAGGCUCGAAAGCGUGGGGAGCAAACAGGAUUAGAUACCCUUGUAGUC